rnacentral:pre_miRNA from 1 species
GAGGCUGCCCCGGUGGAGGGGAGGGUGGCCCUCCUCUCCAUCGCUGCAGCCACCU